GUAACUAGGGGAGCAUUUCGCUGAGACACAUUUUAUGUGAACCCUCAUUACUUGAUCCAGAUAAUGCUGGCGAAAGGAAGGAGAUUUU
rnacentral:ncRNA from 1 species